ACCUACCUAUAAGACUGGGAUAACUUCGGGAAACCGGAGCUAAUACCGGAUAAUAUAUUGAACCGCAUGGUUCAAUAGUGAAAGACGGUUUUGCUGUCACUUAUAGAUGGAUCCGCGCCGCAUUAGCUAGUUGGUAAGGUAACGGCUUACCAAGGCAACGAUGCGUAGCCGACCUGAGAGGGUGAUCGGCCACACUGGAACUGAGACACGGUCCAGACUCCUACGGGAGGCAGCAGA
rnacentral:rRNA from 1 species